rnacentral:rRNA from 1 species
GAGUUUGAUCCUGGCUCAGAUUGAACGCUGGCGGCAGGCCUAACACAUGCAAGUCGAGCGGAAACGAGUUAACUGAACCUUCGGGGAACGUUAACGGCGUCGAGCGGCGGACGGGUGAGUAAUGCCUGGGAAAUUGCCCUGAUGUGGGGGAUAACCAUUGGAAACGAUGGCUAAUACCGCAUAAUAGCUUCGGCUCAAAGAGGGGGACCUUCGGGCCUCUCGCGUCAGGAUAUGCCCAGGUGGGAUUAGCUAGUUGGUGAGGUAAUGGCUCACCAAGGCGACGAUCCCUAGCUGGUCUGAGAGGAUGAUCAGCCACACUGGAACUGAGACACGGUCCAGACUCCUACGGAAGGCAGCAGUGGGGAAUAUUGCACAAUGGGCGCAAGCCUGAUGCAGCCAUGCCGCGUGUAUGAAGAAGGCCUUCGGGUUGUAAAGUACUUUCAGCAGUGAGGAAGGUGGGUAUGUUAAUAGCAUAUUCAUUUGACGUUAGCUGCAGAAGAAGCACCGGCUAACUCCGUGCCAGCAGCCGCGGUAAUACGGAGGGUGCGAGCGUUAAUCGGAAUUACUGGGCGUAAAGCGCAUGCAGGUGGUUUGUUAAGUCAGAUGUGAAAGCCCGGGGCUCAACCUCGGAAUUGCAUUUGAAACUGGCAAACUAGAGUACUGUAGAGGGGGGUAGAAUUUCAGGUGUAGCGGUGAAAUGCGUAGAGAUCUGAAGGAAUACCGGUGGCGAAGGCGGCCCCCUGGACAGAUACUGACACUCAGAUGCGAAAGCGUGGGGAGCAAACAGGAUUAGAUACCCUGGUAGUCCACGCCGUAAACGAUGUCUACUUGGAGGUUGUGGCCUUGAGCCGUGGCUUUCGGAGCUAACGCGUUAAGUAGACCGCCUGGGGAGUACGGUCGCAAGAUUAAAACUCAAAUGAAUUGACGGGGGCCCGCACAAGCGGUGGAGCAUGUGGUUUAAUUCGAUGCAACGCGAAGAACCUUACCUACUCUUGACAUCUACAGAAGCCAGCGGAAACCCAGGUGUGCCUUCGGGAACUGUAAAACAGGUG